rnacentral:RNase_P_RNA from 1 species
UGAGCCGACCGGGCGGUCGCGGCCGGUGAAACGGCGGGCGGGUUCACCCUGUCCGCGCUGACACCGCGCCGAGGAAAGUCCGGACUCCACAGUGGCAGGGUGGUUGUCAACGGCAACCCAGGGUGACCUGCGGGACAGUGCCACAGAAAACAAACCGCCCCGCGCUCCCGGGAAACCGGGCGCACGGGGUAAGGGUGAAACGGUGCGGUAAGAGCGCACCAGCACCGCAGGUGACUGCGGUGGCUAGGUAAACCCCACCCGGAGCAAGGUAAGAGGGCGCACCGGCCGGUCCCCACGGACCGGGCCGGUGUGCCUGCGCGGACGUUCGAGGGCUGCCCGCCCGAGUUCGCGGGUCAACCGCUCGAGGCGCCCAGUGAUGGUGCGUCCAGAUGGAUGGCCGCCGCCGUGCCCGUCAGACGGCGCGGUACAGAAUCCGGCUUACAGGUCGACUCAUUCG